UCUUUUCAUUUUUUGUCUACCUUUAAUAAACUUAAAUCUUGGUUGUCGUUCAUGCUUAUUUCAUUCAGUUCUUGGUUCAGGACAAGAAAACCCCUAAAAAUCACCUCAUAAAAGAAAAACACUGCAACACCCCAAAGUCUCAUAACAAAAAGGAAGAAAGUGCAACAGCAUGGAUGACACCAGGAGAAACCUGAGAACCUUUGAUAUUGGGACUCGACUUCUGGUUGCUGUUUUUGCUGUAUCACUCAAGGAACCUGAGCUGAGUCCAUUUGGUGAGAAGCCAGAACUGAAGGAGUAGGUGGAGGAAAGAAUGUCAGCAGAUCUGGAGGGUGAGGACAUCCUGGAAUGGACAAUGUCAUUAUGAGACUGGUAGAAACUAAAGAGGAUGAGUCUCUCGUUCUACCUGUUCCACCACCAUCCAUCAUCAUGGGACUACACAUCAGGUCUUCUUGUCAUUCAAAGGCUGACCUAAGUAAUUCAUAUACUGAGCAGGAUUUACGAUCACAGCUGGAGAAGACUAAGGAGAAGUUUCAUGAACUCAAAGGAUGUUUUCUUGUGUCUGAAGCUACUGUCUAUUCCAUGGCUAAUGAGCUGAAAAGGCA